rnacentral:lncRNA from 1 species
AUAAAUCGAGGUGUCAACUUCUUCGACUUCAAAGCCCGACCAACACCAGUUAUCGGAGUAACACGAAGAAACACGUGAUCUCCCUCUUGGAACUCAAGUGACUUCCUCCUCUUAUCAUGAUAACUCUUCUGACGACUCGAGCAAUUCUCAUCUUCUCCUGAAUCAUCUUAAUCUUUUCCGUAGUUUGUUGAACACAUUUCCGGUCCAACCACAGCACCCUCACCGGACUCAUACCAACAUAAAGGCGUCCGACAUCUCCUACCAUACAAAGCUUCAAACGUUGCCAUACCAAUACUCGAAUGAAAACUAUUGUUGUAGGUGAACUCAAUCAAAG